CCGCCGUAAUGAUUAAUAGGGACAGUCGGGGGCGUCAGUAUUCAAUUGUCAGAGGUGAAAUUCUUGGAUUUAUUGAAGACUAACUACUGCGAAGGCAUUCGCCAAGGAUGUUUUCAUUAAUCAGGAACGAAAGUUAGGGGAUCGAAGACGAUCAGAUACCGUCGUAGUCUUAACCGUAAACUAUGCCUGUUAGGGAUCGGACGGUGUUAUUUUGUGACCCGUCCGGCACCUUACACGAAAGUACAAACGAGGCUCCUGGGGAAAUACGUCGGCAACGAUGAAACUUAAAGAAAUUGACGGAAGGGCACCACCAGGGGUGGAGCCUGCGGCUUAAUUUGACUCAACACGGGGAAACUCACCAGGUCCAGACACAACGAGGAUUGACAGAUUGAGAGCUCUUUCUUGAUUUUGUGGGUGGUGGUGCAUGGCCGUUCUUAGUUGGUGGAGUCAUUUGUCUGCUUAAUUGCGAUAACGAACGAGACCUUAACCUGCUAAAUAGCCCGCGUCGCUUUGGCGGCGUGCCGGCUUCUUAGAGGGACUAUCGGCUUAAGCCGAUGGAAGUUUGAGGCAAUAACAGGUCUGUGAUGCCCUUAGAUGUUCUGGGCCGCACGCGCGCUACACUGACACAGCCAGCGAGUUCUUCCUUGGCCGAAAGGCCCGGGUAAUCUUGUUAAACUGUGUCGUGCUGGGG
rnacentral:rRNA from 1 species